rnacentral:lncRNA from 1 species
AAGAAUUCUUUGCAACUUGGAAAUUGUAUUUCGCGGGAGGCCUCGGCCGCCCCUUCGGCCGCUGCACUCGGCCGGCUCUUACAUGCGGAGCAAUUCCACUGGGGUGGUUUACAAUUCCACCCUUUCGCUCCCGGCGUCCUGCCGUUCGUUUCCCCGCGUGUUCCUGGGCACCUCACCCUUUCCUAGAAUGGGGCUUCGUUUCCAGGAUGAGGAGGGGACUGGAGACUAAGACAUAUGAAGAACGGUUACAGGAACCGGGCCUGGCUAGUCUAGGGAAGAAGAGAAGGACCGGGGGAGACAGGAGAGCAGCCUUCCAAGAUUUGAGGGGCUGCCCCAGAGAGGAGGAGGAAGGGGCCAAGCUAUUUUCCAAGGUACCUGAAGGCCAGACAAGGAAUCAUGGAUGGAAACUGAUCAAAGGGAGAUACAACCUGGAAAUAAGGAGAAACUUUCUGACCGUGAGAACAAUCAACCGAUGGAACAGAAGUGGCCUUUGGAAGUUGUGGGAGCUUCAUCCCUGGAGGUUUGGACUGCCAUCGGUCAGAAAUGGUGUAGGGUCUCCCGCUUGGGCGGGGGGAGUUGGACUAGAUGACCUACAGGGUCCGUCCCAACUCUGAUUACCUGUUUAUCUUCUGACCUUCCAGGGAUAUUUCUGGCUUCCAGGCUGAGGUGCCCCCCACACCCACCCCGCCCCUCCCCCACCCCGUCCUCCAUCCCAUGCCUGGAGGGCCCCCUCCUGGCCCCCCUUCGCUCCUCUCUCUCCCCCGUCGGGUGGUGGGCCCCAGGGACCCCAGGAGGCGGCCUUCCCAGCCGCUGAAGCCCCCCAGCCGUUUGGCUGGCCAGCACAACCCCCGGCUGUUCCUGGAAGCCCCUCCCCAAGCACAGGCUCUGUUCGCUAAGCACCAGCAGCCCCUCAAGGGGUCCCAACUCCCCCCCCCAAGAGAAGAAGGCCCUUCACGUUGAGGCCCCAGGAGGACUCGGCUCCACUCCUCCUGCCAAGAGGGCCUGCCCUGCAGAAGAGAUUUGGCCUCUUGACCGCUGCAGCAGGAGCAGCCCACAGAGUAGCAGCAUUUCCAUCCGAGCAAUUCCUAGCCCACGUGGAGCUUUUGGGGGUGGAAGGGGGGGGGUCAUUGGCAGAGGAGGGGGAUGGGAAAAUCUGCUUCCGUAUCCCACCCCCCCCCCCCCCCUUGGAUGGUGUUCUGCUUCUGGCAGCAGCAGCCCCUCCCCCCUACUUGUAGGUCCAGCAGGCGGUGGCCCAGCCCUGUCCCUUGCAGAGCUCCUUGUGCUUCAAGAAGCAGCUCUGGACGCGGAACUUGCGUCCGCAGUCCUGGCAGGUGUGCAGGUUCCCGUCGUGGGUCUUCAUGUGCUCCGUCAGGUGGUGCUUCAGCUUGAACUUCUUGGGGCAGACGGAGCAGCCGAAGGGCCUCAGGCUGAAGGUCAGCAUGAUGUGCCGGUCCCGCUUGGGCUUCACGGCGAAGCGCUUCCCGCACAGGCAGCCGAACUUCUUCCCGUCCGGCGCGGACAUCAGCUUGACGGGCGCGUGCACCACCUGGCCGUGCACGGUGUGGCCCAGGAUCUCGUUGCCGUGCAGGUCCACGGGCUUCCACGAGCUCUCGGGGAAAGCUGCCACGGAGUCGGCGGAAAGAGCCGUGGACGCCCCGCCGGGCAGCGGGAGGUAGCCGAGCGGCUCCCCGGCCUGGAUCUCCGGCUGGCAGAGGCCCGGCACCUCAGUCACGCCGGGGGACUUCAGGAAGCCGGCCUCGGAGAGGCAGGAGGCCGGGCCGCCCCCCAGAGCGGAGGAAGGGGCCUCCUCGGGGUCAAAGCGCUCCUGCUUGAUGAAGAAGACCUUGGGGGCCUCGUGGGGCGAAGCGAAGGCCGGGCCCGGCUCCCUGGACCCUUUGCCAGGACGGGCCCUGCCGCGGCGGUCCUCUUCCUCCGCCACCACCACCUCCUCCUCCUCCUCGUCCAAAACCACCUUCACCAGCCGGUCAGCCGAGCCGCUGGUGCAGAUCUGGGCCUGCCGCUCCUCCUCUUCCUCCUCCUCCUCUUCUUCCUCCUCCUCUUCUUCCUCCUGGGACACCCGGAUCUUCACCACCUCCUCCUCCUCCAGGCGGUGCGGGCGGCGGGCGGACCCUCCUCCUCCUCCUCCGUCCUCCCGGAGGCCCGGGCGGUGGCUGCUGCUGCUGGGGGUCUCGGCGGCGGCGGCGGCGGCGCGGGGGGUCCAGGGGCCGCGGGCGUAGGCGAGGGGCCCCCCGGCCGCCUCCAGCUCCUUGAGGACGCCCGAGCACUGGUCCACCACCUGCCACAUCUGCAGCCCGCUGGCCGCCAGCAGGUGCCCCGGGAGGGCGUCGAGCAGCAGCCGCAGCCGCCCCGAGUAGAUGAGCUGCAGCAGGUUCUCGAAGGCCUCGGGCUCGAUGGCGCCGGGCAGGACGAGGCGGCCGGCGUCGCGGAGCAGCAGCUUGUCGUGGAAGUAGGGCGAGGCGGCGGCCAGGACGCUCUUGUGCGCCUGGAAGACGCGGCCCUGCACGUGCACCGACAGGUCGCAGAACUUGCCCUCCAGCCGGUGCCGGUUCAGCGACUCCAGCAGCCCCGCCGCGUAGUGCGGGAACUCGAUCUGCACGCUGCGCGCGCCCGCCGCCGCCGCCUCCAUGGCCGCCGCUGCUGCCGCCGCCGCCGCCGCCGCGGGAAAAGCCCAGGCGAGCCUCCCCGGGAACUGGGGGCACCCUCUGCGCACGCGCG